rnacentral:lncRNA from 1 species
ACACAACCAGAUAAUCAAAUAUCAAGUGGGAUUCAUUUUCUAUCAAAACGCACGAAGAAGAGCACUAAAAUCAAUCAAGAACAGAGUUUAGAAAUGGACCUCAAUGAAUCUGAAAUUUAAAUGAACGGCAGCCUUGAAAUGCAUAAACGCGACGAACCGCGGACGGUAACUCGAAUCGCCACCGUGAAUCUCAUCCGGACUCACACUCGGACAGAAUGUUCAAUCAAACUCGACAUAAAUCUUCUCUCACACUCAAAGACUGAAAAUGACAAAAGAAACAAAUGCAACAACAGAAAUGUUCGGAUAUGACCAGCUCGGAACGGCCCAACUCAAUCAAACUCCAUCGCACAACUCAAUGGCAGCCUUGAAACGCAUAAACGCGGCGAACUGCGGAUGGAAACUCGAAUCGGCACCGUAAAUCUCAUACGGACUCGCACACGGACAGAAUGUUCAAUCAAACUCGACAUAAAUCUGCUCACACUCAAAGACUGAAAAUCACAAAAGAAAAAAAUGCAGCAACAGAAAUGUUCGGAUAUGACCAGAUCGGAACGGCCCAACUCAAUCAAACUCCACCGCACAACUCAAUGGCAGCCUUGAAACGCAUAAACGCGGUGAACCGCUGACAGAAACUCGAAUCGGCACCGUAAAUCUCACCCGGGCUCGCACUCAGACAGAAUGUUCAAUCAAACUCGACAUAAAUCUGCUCUCACGCUCAAAGACUGAAAAUCACAAAAGAAAAAAAUGCAACAACAGAAAUGUUCGGAUAUGACCAGCUCGGAAUGGCCCAACUCAAUCAAACUCCAUCGCACAACUCAAUAGCGAAAAUUUCUUCUAGAUUAGAGAAACUUCGGGCUUACAGUUUUGUCCAAAUGAAGGGCAACAACAUUCAACAACAACAAAAAAAGAGUAUCAACCCCAAAAAAAUCAGCAAAAACGCGAAUCGAAACCCGAACAGCGACUUAAACCAGCUCCAUCUCAACAGCAAAGUUCAGACCCAAAAUUGGACUUUAAAAUCGGGACCGUUGACAGGAAUCGGCUCACUCAAACUCGAUUGAAUUCCAUGUUUUCUUUUUUAAAAUAAUAAUCAGAAGAAGAAGCUAGAAAUUAACAUGACAAUCAGAAGGUUUGAAUUCGAAAUCAAAAUAAGAAAAAGAAUCCCGUCAGUUCCUUCUUCGGGUGUAUGUGCGUGUUUUCCGGCGAGUUGGGUUGGGUCUGGUCACUGGUUGAUUGGAAGAGGAGAGGUGUUCCGGUGAUGGCUGCUUAGGCCUUGAUAAUGGCCGAUGAGGAGUUCCUCUGUUGAAGAAGACGACCUUGGGGAGGGGUUCGUUUUGUGUGAGGGUCUGGUUCAAGGAGUGAAGAAGAAGCUCCAGCUGAAGGGUUCAGAGGUGACGACCGUUUUGUGGUUGUGGAGAUGGGUGGCGGCGGCAGCUGUUGAUCGUUGAAGGAUGCUCUUCAGGCGCUAGGUUUUCGCUAGUCUUUGUUCAAAAAUAAGAAGAUAGGGCAGCCACCGUGGUUGUUCUUGUCUUAAGAUUAAAGGUCUUGGUGUGAAGAUGGCUAGGGUUUUUUUGUAGUCUUGUUCUGUUGUUAAAAGAAGAAGUGGGCUCAAAAUUGAUCCUUUGGGUGGUGGGGUUAAUAUUGGCCUUCAACAUGUGCAAAUUUAGGCCAAAAAGGACUGAAAAUUCUAAUUAAAUACCUAUAAAACUCUACAUUAAUUUUGAAAAAUUAUUUGUAUUAAAAUAAAACUAACAAUUAAAGUUG